rnacentral:rRNA from 1 species
AUGAAUCAUCGCUUCAGUGACUCAAACCAAGAGGUAAUUGCAUGUUUAUUGUGUCUUGAUCCCAAGAAUUCUUUCUCCAAGUUUGAUGUACAAAAGCUUUCUCGGCUUGCUGAAAUAUAUAGUCCCGAUUUCUCAAGUAGUGAUCGUACAGUAUUGAGGGACCAACUUGAGACUUUUGUUCUUCAUUUGAGAAAUCAUGCUGAAUUUUCUACUUGCAAAGAUGUUGAAAGUUUAGCUACAAAAAUGGUUGAAACAGAGAAACAUUUGGUCUUUCCAUUGGUUUACAAGCUCAUUGAGUUAGCUUUGCUACUGCCGGUGUCCACAGCAUCUGUUGAGAGAGCUUUCUCGGCAAUGAAAAUUAUCAAGUCUAAACUGCGCAACACGAUCAAUGAUGAUUGGUUUAAUCACUUGACGAUAUGCUACACUGAACGUGAAAUAUUUAAAUCACUCGAUGAUGAAGUUAUCACUCGAAGGUUUCAGGCCAUGAAGGCUCGAAAAGGGAUUUUACCGAGGCAUCAUUAG